rnacentral:tRNA from 1 species
GCACUGGUGGCUCAGUGGUAGAAUUCUCGCCUUCCACACAGGAGACCCGGGUUUGAUUCUCGGCUAGUGCA